UAGCUCCUGAAGACAGUUCGGGACACCCCGCACAUAAUCAGCGUCUUCGAAUCACUCGCCGGUCGCCGUGAUUUUGCUGCGAAGCAAGGCUUGGGUAGAUCGUAAAAGUUUCUUGCAGAGUUUCGCAGGAUUCAUGGUGAGGACCUAAUCACACUGUUCAACCAAGGACUACAAAGACUGGCAGAACCCCUUUCUGGACUUCACAAAGAUAGAUGCAAAUGAGCCAAGAAAGAUGUGACAGUUUACUUCCCGGAAGCUAAGAAGAAAUUGCCAUACAGAUUCUACCAACCUUUUUCAAGGAAGACCUGGUGAUGUAUUCAUCUCAAGUGACAAGGUUGAUACGAAGCCCAUGUACAUACGUGUAUCCUGCAAUCAAGAGGAAUCAUAUGAGCUUGUUCUGGAGGAGCAAAGAGUCUGUCAAGUCCAGGAUAAAGUGCAUGCAUUGGCUUGUUAAGUAGCUGGUUUUUAUUUUUCAUUCAGCCUAUGGCUGUGAGCCAUCAGUCAUGAAAAUUUGUAAGUUUUGCCAACUUGGAAUUCUUCAGGUGAAAGAUGCAUGUCCUGUUGAUAAAUCUGUUAUCAACCUUCUGAACAUGUUGAAGAAGAAAGUGCCCUCCAGACAAGGGAAGUAACU
rnacentral:lncRNA from 1 species